GGGGGCGAUCGGCUUCGACGGGAGUAGUGAAGUUACUGAGUGCAUGCCGAGGGGGUAGCUUUCCUCGUUAAUCCAGCUGCAAACUUUAGUUGCCAACGACGACAACUACGCUCUGGCCGCUUAAGGCCUAAGCCUCGACUGCGAGAGUGUCCGUGCUCUCAAAAGUUGAGUCAUGCUCACGGGAUAAGCGCUGCCUGUGCUCGGGUUGCAGCGACCAAAAUCAACGAGCUGGUACCUGGAUAAGCGCGCCCUUCGGCAUGUCAGGUACGAGAUCAAAGAAGGGCUACGCAUGUAGGACUUGGGAUGGAUCAUUUUCGGACGCGGGUUCGAUUCCCGCCGCCUCCACCA
rnacentral:tmRNA from 1 species